ensembl:lncRNA
CACAACUAAAAUGUGCAAAAGAAUGACAAAUAUUCUCCAUCUCAAAUCAUCUCUGGGGGCGUCUCUUGGUUCUUUGUGUAAACACUUUUGGAGAUGUCCGCGGGUCUGCUCCAAAACAUCUACUAAAGUGUGAAUGUCCAGGGAAUGGAAGGACAGCCUAACAGAAGCCACAGCCAUUUGAGCCGUUUUACUCAGAGAUCGAAAUGUAUAAACAUCCACAUCUCUCGAAACCAUGGCAAUGACGAACCACUUAACGCUCCUCGGCCAGAGGAGACAGUCUAUCCACCAUGAGGCUUUGCGGUGGGAACAAAAACGGACCUGUGUUCACAAUUGGUCCUUGAGGGGUUAGGCUACACCUGCACAUAACCUUUAGCAUUAGGGUUUUGUCAUAAAUGGAGCGCACUUUGAGUUUCCCUAGCAAGAGUGGUUGAGAGCAAGGCAAAACUGAAACAGUUACAGAACAAAACAGAUUGUACUGUGGAUUUUGGUUAGGCCUACAUCACACUCUGAAUAGCAGGUGUUCUGGGUUUAUUAAACCGUAAAAGGUAGGCCUGCGCAAUUUGUUUUGGGGUUAUCGUUAAGUUUUGGGAUGUUAUUUGAGUGUCACGAGAGAUGAACAUAUCAUGAUUAUUUGUUUAAAUAUAUGUUCUUUUAGAUAAAUUGCUGCUGGGCUACAUCAGACCUUAGUCUAAGUCUAAUCAUAUCCGUUGUCAUCAUCAAGUGUAUCUUGCGGUUAUGGAGAUAUGAUUCGCUAUGAUUUUCCUUUUACUUAGAUACAACAGUUUUUUUGCCUGUAUAUCAUGUUUCUACCUUGCAAAAUGUUAUGUUAUUGCGUUUAUUUGUGAGUCAAACCGUUGCACUUCCAAACAGGAGGCCGCAGUGCACGCGUAAUCUACAGCAAUAUAUAUUCGGUAACACACACUCAUUUCAGUGCUUAGAUGUUUGGCUGAUAACAGAAACUCUCGUGAAUAGGGCUAAUUAAGCGGUACACAACUCAUGAAAACAUUUAAUUCUGAGAGCACCAGUGUUUUAGUACUGGAGUUCAAAACUCGGACUUCGGACUCCGGACUCGGAUUCCAGCAUUGACUGCAGUUGGACACGGAAGUUAGAGAUGGGGUGGCUGAGCGCGAUAUAUGGGUGGAUAAGGUACACUGACAUAUUUUUCAAACGGGAUAUAGGAGGAGACAAUACCGUUUAGACGGAUAUAGUUUGAUGUUGUGUUACAUAAACUGUUUCUUCUGUAAAGCUGACAGUGUUCGCUCCUCUCAUCUUCUCUCACACAUCUCCUCACAACCCCGACCGAUCAACCCAAAUCAUCUGACCGGCUCAUGGACUAUGCCUAUUAAGUUUAAUAUCACGUUCGAACACUAUGUACAAUUUCACAACAGAAUACAGCAGAAUAAUGUGUAGGUAGGCUAGUUAAUUUAGCUUUUAAUGACAUCGCAUUACGCCGUGAACGUCAAGCGAAUAUCUAAGCUACCUUCACCCGCCGUCAAUCCAUCACACACCUGACACCAAAUGAGUGGGGCCUAAAGCAGUGGAUGAGACAGACUGUGCAUAACCUUUUUACUGCCAUCAGGAGGCCAGAAGAAACCGAGGGAAAGGAGUAGCAAAUUUAGCAAGGUUUAUUUUCUGCAAUUGUAAUAUUAGGGGAGAGCUGGUACAAACGUAAUAUACAGUUAAAAUAAACCUCCCACAUCACCAAUAUUUUACAAUAUAUCAUAAAUGUUUCUUUAAACACCUAAAUACGCCUAGUGUAAAUCUAACUCUCAUAGCCGUUGUCAUCAUCAAACGUGUUUCUUGCGGUUAUGGAAAUAUGAUACGUGAAGAUUUUACCAUUUACGUAGAUACAACAAUGGUUAAGGUAUUUUUCAAGGGCAUUGGAUAUGCCGAGAGGUAUCUUGAAGAGAUCAAGGCCUAUCUCCAAAGACGACUUUGUGUGACUCAGGUUGGAGAUGUACGGGAAUGUGAUGUCAUCUUGGUCCUCUGUCCAAUCGUCUCUCGAGCUGGAACUGAUGUUGAGGCUGCACUGAGUGCGAUUCCAAGCUCAAAGCCUACACUUCUCAUGGUGCUUCAUCGCACAAUCGACCCGGAUGACAUAAUACCCAACACCCAGAAGUAUGUCGAAGGGAGAGGAAUGACGCUAGACCUGCUUUUCAAUGAGGAUCAAGGAAUACUCUCUUGCAGAAGAAAUGAGGACUCUAAGAUUUCGGCUGCAGAUUUCCUUAGCCAAUAUCAAACUGCCAACUCUGGAGGUGUUACUGGCUUUUUAAGUGACAUACGUUCGAUAAUAAUGAUUGUGUCUAUUUCAGUUGCAUGCAUUGAUUCUACUUUGGCACUGCAUUUCUUUGUCAGUAAUGCAUUUCGUUGUCUCAGUACUUGUACUCUGUCUCAGUACUUGUGCGUUGUCUCAGUUGUACUUGUACUCUGUGCAAUGACAAAACAGUUGAAUCUAAUCUAAUCUAAUCUAAUUGUCUGGAUUUAAAAAAAAAAUUAUAUUCCUCUAAGAUAACUCAGUCAAGAUCAAUUGAUUGUUUUUUCCUAGGCUAUUUACAUAGACUACACUACAGUUGAAACAUGAGCAUAAUCCAACUGAAAUCUGAUAGGCUAUCAGAACCCUAAAAAAUUGGGCUUCGGUCUUGAAUGCCAGAAGUGUUUUGUUAAGUCAUAUAUUGGCAAUACCAACAUGUGUUAUUUGAAAACAUUAAAAAGAAGAAGUGUCAUUUGAUUUAAGAGUAAAUUGUAGUUUAUUAGUUGUAAUUACUCAACUUCCUUGCAUCCUCAAACUGCCC